rnacentral:rRNA from 1 species
AUGUCGCUGCCCUAUAUGCCGGCUAGACACGGUGGCUACGACUACAACCUGACGGAUGUGCACGGGAGGUUGGGAGUCAUCUUCCUCAACCCGUCGGGGAAGACGGAAGCAUGGGCUUGGCAUGAGGAGGUGGGGAUGUGGACUCCAGUGGCCAUCCUCACUUGUGCAUGCCAAGAGAUCCCACGGCGAGUACUUCUUGAUGUGCCAGGGGCAGCUGUUGUAUUCGUACCUACGGGAUGGCACAUUGUUGCCGUCCGGCUUGAGGAUGGUGUCCAACUACGUGAAUGUAAUUCGGAGGGAUAA